rnacentral:rRNA from 1 species
UUCUGACCGUAAACGAUGCCAACUAGCGAUCCGCCGGUGGAUUUUUAGCCCUGGUGGGUAGCUUCCCGGAAACGAAAGUCUUCCGGUUCCGGGGGAAGUAUGGUUGCAAAGCUGAAACUUAAAGGAAUUGACGGAAGGGCACCACCAGGAGUGGAGCCUGCGGCUUAAUUUGACUCAACACGGGGAAACUCACCCGGCCCGGACACCGUAAGGAUUGACAGAUUGAUAGCUCUUUCAUGAUUCGGUGGUUGGUGGUGCAUGGCCGUUCUUAGUUCGUGGAUCGAUUUGUCUGGUUUAUUCCGAUAACGAGCGAGACUCUAGCCUACUAAAUAGUAACGAGAUUAUCAAUGUCUCAGUUGCUUCUUAGAGGGAUUUUCGGUGUUUAGCCGCACGAGAUUGAGCAAUAACAGGUCUGUGAUGCCCUUAGAUGUCCGGGGCUGCACGCGCGCUACACUGGCGAAAUCAGCGUGCUGUAUCCAUUCUCGAAAGGGAUUGGUAAACCCAUGAAAAUUUGCCGUGCUUGGGAUCGGAAAUUGCCAUUAUUUUCCGUGAACGAGGAAUUCCAAGUAAGUGCGAGUCAUCAACUCGCUCUG